GACAUGUUCCUGUAAAAUGUUGGUUGACUUUCACCAGGUUACACAGUGUUAUAUCCCAGAAGACAGAACUCUUCAGACUGUUUUUUGAUCAUAUCCCUCAAAGGCUGUGGGGGCUGUAGCUAGGUUUGUAGUUCAAGAUGGAACUCAUACUGAAUCAAAUUUCACAUUUCUGUAGGGAAUGCAUGUCCACAUUCCCAAACAGUUCUAUAUUCUGUGAACUAAUAAAUUAAUGUAACAUGCUGUUAACAUUAAGCAUUCCUCUACAAAACUAAUUGGCAUAUUGAUAUGUAAAUUGAAAUAAUGAUCUCUCUACAUUAGGCUACUCUUUUGAACAACCAUACCUCAGAAAGCAGUAGAGAUAGAAACAUGAAAGAGAGUGUAUUGUACCACGUAGUUUUUCCUUGUGCAUAUUCAUAAAUGUUUUGUGUGGUGUCCUCACAUAAUAUGCAGUCUGCCAUCUGCCCCACAUUAAAUGUGGUAACCACUGGAACAGUUCUUGCUCCUGAUUCAUCAUGGGUUCAUUCUAGGUGAGAUCAUUCAUUUAAUUCUUGACAUAGCCCAACAAGAAGAAGUCUGCUGUGGUCAAGUCAGGUGACCAGCAGUACCAAUCCAGGCAUCAAGAAAGGCUUGCCAUGGCCCGUGGGCAAAUGCAGGUCUUAAAGAAAUUCUGUCAGUUCAGUUUGCUACUGAUGUGGAACUUUGCAUCAUCACCAACCUGUAGUCAACUGGCUGUUGAAAAUACAACCUAAUUUAGAAAGAUCCUAUCAAUGAUGUGCAGUCAGUUCAGUGAAACAUGUUCGGCGAACUACAGCCAUGCCCCAGAAUUAUGUCACCUAAGGUUCCAGCCUGAUGCCAUAAGUCCAAAAUGUCUGCAAGUCAAAGGGACUGUCUUGCAUCUUAUGAACAUUUUAAUAUUCACUUAAUCAGGGAGUGUAACACAAUAACAAAGAUGCAAAGCGAACCAUGUUUGUAAACAAACUGAAGACAGUGAUACCAGUAGUUGGAAGCCGACUGGGUGGUAGCAUCCUACCACUAAAGAGCUGUAACUGUGGGGAAUGGUGGAAAUUGAAAAUGUCUCUAAAUCAAAGAGCCGUAACUCUGGGUAUGACUCUAUUGAUGGAUUUAUUUAAAGGUAGUUUGCUUCCAUAUGUUUGCUCAUGUAAGAAACAUACAGACAUAAUAAACUUGCAUCUUAGUUCAGUAGAAUGAGGCUCACAAAUUUCUGACUCGUGGUCUAGCGUAUAUGUCACAUAAGUUUGUUGUGUCAAAACUCAGUCUGUGUAAGUAACUGUUGUUAUAUACAUUUUGUAGAAAAAUUUUGUAAUUCUGAAGAAAUUAAAGAUAAGUGGUUUGUGGAAGUAUA